rnacentral:piRNA from 2 species
UCCUUACAGGAAAGGAUGAGGUCCAUUUG